rnacentral:piRNA from 7 species
CAGUCGGUAGAGCAUCAGACUUUU